rnacentral:rRNA from 1 species
AUUAUAAUGAAGAGUUUGAUCCUGGCUCAGAGCGAACGCUGGCGGUAUGCUUAACACAUGCAAGUCGAGCGAGAAAAUGGCUUCGGCCAUGAGUACAGCGGCGGACGGGUGAGUAAUACAUGGAUAAUCUGCCUUUAGG